rnacentral:rRNA from 1 species
CGGUGACGUGGAGCAAACCUCAGAAAGCCAAUCUCAGUUCGGAUUGUAGGCUGCAACUCGCCUACAUGAAGUUGGAAUCGCUAGUAAUCGCGAAUCAGAAUGUCGCGGUGAAUACGUUCCCGGGUCUUGUACACACCGCCCGUCACACCACGAGAGUUUACAACACCCGAAGUCAGUGGCCUAACCGCAAGGAGGGAGCUGCCUAAGGUGGGGUAGAUGAUUGGGGUGAAGUCGUAACAAGGUAAC